rnacentral:rRNA from 1 species
UGGGGAAUCUUGCACAAUGGGGGAAACCCUGAUGCAGCGACGCCGCGUGAGCGAUGAAGGUUUUCGAAUCGUAAAGCUCUGUCCUACGGGAAGAUAAUGACGGUACCAUGGGAGGAAGCCCCGGCUAACUACGUGCCAGCAGCCGCGGUAAUACGUAGGGGGCGAGCGUUGUCCGGAAUUACUGGGCGUAAAGGGUUCGCAGGCGGCAUGGCAAGUCCGAUGUAAAAGGCGAAGGCUCAACCUUCGUAAGCAUCGGAAACUGUCAAGCUUGAGUGAAGGAGAGGCAAGUGGAAUUCCUAGUAUAGCGGUGGAAUGCGUAGAUAUUAGGAGGAAUACCGGUAGCGAAGGCGACUUGCUGGACUUCAACUGACGCUGAGGAACGAAAGCGUGGGUAGCAAACAGG